CCUACGGGAGGCAGCAGUGAGGAAUAUUGGUCAAUGGACGAGAGUCUGAACCAGCCAAGUAGCGUGAAGGAUGACUGCCCUAUGGGUUGUAAACUUCUUUUAUAUGGGAAUAAAAUGUUCCACGUGUGGGAUUUUGUAUGUACCAUAUGAAUAAGGAUCGGCUAACUCCGUGCCAGCAGCCGCGGUAAUACGGAGGAUCCGAGCGUUAUCCGGAUUUAUUGGGUUUAAAGGGAGCGUAGGUGGAUUGUUAAGUCAGUUGUGAAAGUUUGCGGCGCAACCGUAAAAUUGCAGUUGAAACUGGCAGUCUUGAGUAGAGUAGAGGUAGGCGGAAUUCGUGGUGUAGCGGUGAAAUGCUUAGAUAUCACGAAGAACUCCGAUUGCGAAGGCAGUUCACUGGACUGCAACUGACACUGAGGCUCGAAAGUGUGGGUAUCAAACAGGAUUAGAUACCCGGGUAGUC
rnacentral:rRNA from 1 species